AACACAUUUGAAAUUUCCUAAUUAAAAGAUUUUGCUUUUCUGAACCUAGGGCAUCUCGAAAACUUGGUAGAACCUCAUAAGAUAACACAGAGUUCGUAACUGGGGGUCCCACCUGUCCAUUAACCCGAACUGAUUUUUUUCCUUGAUUCGGCUUCACCGGGACAUGAUUCCCAUUAUUAGUAAGCUCAGACAUACCAGAACUUGUUGACUUUAAUGUUUUCCCCACAUUUCCCAAUCCCUUUGAGUUACUACUACUAUCAGUAACACCAUAACGGUUGGAAUUAGAGUUCACCGAUG
rnacentral:misc_RNA from 1 species